GUAGGUGGCAUAGUAAGUUGGUGGUGAAAGCGUGUGGCUCAACCAUAUACACAUCACCAAAACUACUAAGCUAGAGUAUAAGAGAGGUAGUUGGAAUUCCUAGUGUAGGAGUGAAAUCCGUAGAUAUUAGGAGGAACACCAAUGGCGUAGGCAGACUACUGGCUUAUUACUGACACUAAGGCACGAAAGCGUGGGUAGCAAACGGGAUUAGAUACCCCGGUAGUCCACGCUGUAAACGAUGGAUGCUAGCUGUUAUGAGUAUCGACCCUCGUAGUAGCGAAGCUAACGCGUUAAGCAUCCCGCCUGUGGAGUACGAGCGCAAGCUUAAAACAUAAAGGAAUUGACGGGGACCCGCACAAGCGGUGGAGCGUGUUGUUUAAUUCGAUGGUAAGCGAAGAACCCUACCCAGGCUUGACAUCCUUGGAAGGUCUCCGAAAGGAGACUGUGCCUUCGGGAAUCAAGUGACAGGUGUUGCAUGGCCGUCGUCAGCUCGUGUCGUGAGAUGUUUGGUUAAGUCCAUCAACGAGCGCAACCCUUGUAGUUAGUUGAAUUUUUCUAGCUAGACUGCCCUGGUAACAGGGAGGAAGGAGGGGAUGAUGUCAGGUCAGUAUUACCCUUACGUCUGGGGCUACAAACACGCUACAAUGGCCGGUACAAAGGGCUGCCAACCCGCGAGGGGGAGCAAAUCCCAUCAAAGCCGGUCCCAGUUCGGAUAGCAGGCUGAAACUCGCCUGCUUGAAGUCGGAAUCGCUAGUAACGGUAGGUCAGCACACUACCGUGAAUACGUUCCCGGGUCUUGUACACACCGCCCGUCAAACCAUGGAAGUCGCCAAUACCUGACGUCUGGACUUGUUCCGGCCUGAGGUAGGGGAGAUAACUGGGGUU
rnacentral:rRNA from 1 species